GAGACACCCUUCUGGGGCAAGACUUGCUUCAGUGGGGCUUUGGUGCUCACUGAGUCUGCCCCCUGAAUGUGUUCCU
rfam:Myotis lucifugus cont2.33319, whole genome shotgun sequence.